AUCAUUUGCUCUGUUUUGUUUUGGUGGUGGUGAUACUGAUACAUGAGGAAGAAGAGGGUAAUGGUGCCAGUGGAAGAAGUUUUGUCAGCCGUCAAAUAUGAGGAGGAAGAGUUUCAAGGUAACUUUCAAAUUUAUUCAUACAUUGCUGAUUUGCGGUAAGAUUUGUGUAUUAGUGUGGGGUUUCUGCGUUUGAUUUUUUAUUUUUUAUUUUAUUUUUUGUUCUAAAACAUAUGAGAGUUUAUGUGGUGGGAGUGAUUGGAAGUUUAAAGCUGUACUGGACAUGAAUUGGAAAUGAACAUUGAAGCUCCACAUAUGACUGGGUUCCUGUUGAAGUUAUUUGUUUGCAUUAUUGAAACGCCCUUGAUUGGUCCUUUGGUUAUAUCUUUCUUAAGGAAGCAGAACAAGUUUGAGGAGAACCCAAGCCUGGUGUUGUAAUGCUUGAUGAAGAAGGGAAACCUGAAGAGCGAGUUGAGUUAGCUUUGAAAUCCCUUCCACAAUAUGAUCCUGCUAGCUGCUGGAAUGGUGAUUCAACCCCAUCUUUUCAGUACUGGAAAAUAAGUGAUUAUGCACAUGCUUAUUGUUCUGGGCAUGCAACACCAAGCACAAAAGUGGAACUACUGCAGCUCAAAGAGAAAAGCAAGUGCAGAAAACUCAGGCAGAAAACACAAGAACAAUAAUAAAACAAAGGACACGCAAGAAAGUUAUACUGGUUCAGUUCUAUCAUGGUGAGAACCUACAUCCCGUUCUGAUUAUGCCAUCAAAUCCACUAUGAAGAAACUAGCUUUACAAGGUGAGAUUACUGAUUACAAAUACACAGACGC